rnacentral:rRNA from 1 species
UNAGAGGUACUUCGGGGGUAGGAGUGAAAUCUUGUAANCCUCGNGGGACCACCAGUGGCGAAGGCGUCUUACCAGAACGGAUCCGACGGUNAGGGACGAAAGCUGGGGGCACGAACCGGAUUANAUACCCGGGUAGUCCNAGCCGUAAACUAUNCUCGCUAGGUGUCAGGCACGGUGCGACCGUUUUUGGUNCCGUAGGGAAGCCGUGAAGCGAGCCACCUGGGAAGUACGGNCGCAAGGCUGAAACUUAA